rnacentral:rRNA from 1 species
AUUGAACGCUGGCGGCAGGCCUAACACAUGCAAGUCGGACGGUAGCACAGGGGAGCUUGCUCCUCGGGUGACGAGUGGCGGACGGGUGAGUAAUGUCUGGGGAUCUGCCCGAUAGAGGGGGAUAACCACUGGAAACGGUGGCUAAUACCGCAUAAUGUCGCAAGACCAAAGAGGGGGACCUUCGGGCCUCUCACUAUCGGAUGAACCCAGAUGGGAUUAGCUAGUAGGCGGGGUAACGGCCCACCUAGGCGACGAUCCCUAGCUGGUCUGAGAGGAUGAACAGCCAAACUGGAACUGAGACACGGUCCAGACUCCUACGGGGGGCAGCAGUGGGGAAUAUUGCACAAUGGGCGCAAGCCUGAUGCAGCCAUGCCGCGUGUAUGAAGAAGGCCUUCGGGUUGUAAAGUACUUUCAGCGGGGAGGAAGGCGAUAAGGUUAAUAACCUUGUCGAUUGACGUUACCCGCAGAAGAAGCACCGGCUAACUCCGUGCCAGCCGCCGCCGUAA